AAGUCGUAACAAGGUUUCCGUAGGUGAACCUGCGGAAGGAUCAUUACAAAUCUUUGAGAGCGCUGUGGCUGUCUGACAGUUGCAGUGUCUCUACAUUAGCACAGGGUCGCAAGACUCUGAUGUUUACGCUUGUAUGUUUGACAGAGUUAGUUGAGAAAUAAUAAAGACAACUUUAAACAAUGGAUCUCUUGGCUCUU
rnacentral:misc_RNA from 1 species